CCUACGGGGGACAGCAGUGAGGAAUAUUGGUCAAUGGACGAGAGUCUGAACCAGCCAAGUGGCGUGAAGGAUGACUGCCCUAUGGGUUGUAAACUUCUUUUAUAUGGGAAUAAAAUGUUCCACGUGUGGGAUUUUGUAUGUACCAUAUGAAUAAGGAUCGGCUAACUCCGUGCCAGCAGCCGCGGUAAUACGGAGGAUCCGAGCGUUAUCCGGAUUUAUUGGGUUUAAAGGGAGCGUAGGUGGAUUGUUAAGUCAGUUGUGAAAGUUUGCGGCUCAACCGUAAAAUUGCAGUUGAAACUGGCAGUCUUGAGUACAGUAGAGGUGGGCGGAAUUCGUGGUGUAGCGGUGAAAUGCUUAGAUAUCACGAAGAACUCCGAUUGCGAAGGCAGUUCACUGGACUGCAACUGACACUGAGGCUCGAAAGUGUGGGUAUCAAACAGGAUUAGAUACCCCAGUAGUC
rnacentral:rRNA from 1 species